rnacentral:rRNA from 1 species
GAGGCAACCGGCAAACGAGGUAGUAACACGUAGGUAGACCCCCCCAGAGUCGGGCAUAGCCAGCCGAAAGGUUGGGUAAUUCCCGAUAGUCCCGAAAGGGUAAAGGUUUUUCGCUCUGGGAGUUGCCUGCGUAGUAUCAGCUAGUUGGUAGGGUAAUGGCCUACCAAGGCUACGACGCUUAGGGGAGCUGAGAGGCUGACCCCCACCGAUGGAACUGCGACACGGUCCAUACUCCUACGGGAGGCUGCAGACGAGAAUAUUCCGCAAUGGGCGAAAAGCCUGACGGAGCGACGCCGCGUGAUUGAUGAAGUGCUUCGGUACGUAAAGAUCUUUUAUCGGGGACGAAGUUUAUUGACGGUACCCGAUGAAUAAGGGGCUCCUAACUCUGUG